UGGCUGUUUGCUCUGCUCUCAUAUUUUUGCAUGAGUAGCUUACAAACUGCUCCAUUUCUCUCCCUCCCUCUCCCUCCCUCUCUCUCUCUCUCUGGAGGUGGGGGCAGAGAGCUAUUAGCUGUGCGCUGCAGACAUCAUUAGGAGGGGAGACGCUUUCCACCGUCAGCGCCGGAGCAGAGCAGGGGAGCCCUGGCAACAAGGAGACACACAAACUCAGCAGCCAGCUACACCCCACAGACUGGUGACCGCACCUGCAAACAGACAGACGUGAACAGACGGCACAGACAUCUGGAACACUUCUCCUCCUGUUGGUGGAAGAAUCCAGACUUCAACUCCAGUCAGUUGUCAGCUCUCAACUGAGCAGCAGGCUCCACCUACUCCACCCUCCAGCCCUGCCUCCUCUGAUCAGGAUGCUGAGUCCCUGAGUCAACACACUGCAUUCUGGGAUAGUCUGGAACCCUCUCCAUGGGCUGUACCACCACCUGCUGACAAACCAGGGCGGUCUGGAGGAGCUGAAUUGAAUGAGGUGAGAAUAUCUCCUCUGAUAAUAUGUGCUGCACCAUAGUACUUGUUUAAAAGAUUCAGUUGCUUUAUGUUAUGUAAGCUGGUUUUCAUAGCG
rnacentral:lncRNA from 1 species